UCAGGAGUAAUCUUUUGAUGAUGCAGCCUCCUCCUUCUCUUGACAAUGUUUAUAAUAUGGUCUUCAAUGAUUAGAAGCAAAGACAAGUUCAGUCUUCCUCUCACUUUGAUCCAGCCUCUGUCUUUUUCAAUGUACGUACACACAGACAGCCUAUUGGAUUUAACAAGGCCACAGUGUCUGUUCCUCCUCUUCCUUUUAGACAGAGAGUCAAUUUUGACCAAAAGAGAGUCAAUUUUGACCAAGCCAGGGGACCUUUAUUUUGUAGAUACUGUAAAAAAUC
rnacentral:lncRNA from 1 species